rnacentral:rRNA from 1 species
UACGUAGGGUGCAAGCGUUAAUCGGAAUUACUGGGCGUAAAGCGUGCGCAGGCGGCUCUGCAAGACAGAUGUGAAAUCCCCGGGCUCAACCUGGGAACUGCAUUUGUGACUGCAGGGCUAGAGUACGGUAGAGGGGGAUGGAAUUCCGCGUGUAGCAGUGAAAUGCGUAGAUAUGCGGAGGAACACCGAUGGCGAAGGCAAUCCCCUGGGCCUGCACUGACGCUCAUGCACGAAAGCGUGGGGAGCAAACAGG